rnacentral:rRNA from 1 species
AUUGAACGCUAGCGGGAUGCUUUACACAUGCAAGUCGAACGGCAGCGCGGACUUCGGUCUGGCGGCGAGUGGCGAACGGGUGAGUAAUGUAUCGGAACGUGCCCAGUAGCGGGGGAUAACUACGCGAAAGCGUAGCUAAUACCGCAUACGCCCUACGGGGGAAAGCAGGGGAUCGUAAGACCUUGCACUAUAGGAGCGGCCGAUAUCGGAUUAGCUAGUUGGUGAGGUAACGGCUCACCAAGGCGACGAUCCGUAGCUGGUUUGAGAGGACGACCAGCCACACUGGGACUGAGACACGGCCCAGACUCCUACGGGAGGCAGCAGUGGGGAAUUUUGGACAAUGGGGGCAACCCUGAUCCAGCCAUCCCGCGUGUGCGAUGAAGGCCUUCGGGUUGUAAAGCACUUUUGGCAGGAAAGAAACGUCGCGGGCUAAUACCCCGUGGAACUGACGGUACCUGCAGAAUAAGCACCGGCUAACUACGUG